rnacentral:rRNA from 1 species
GAUGAACGCUGGCGGCGUGCCUAAUACAUGCCAGUCGAGCGAACAGACGAGGAGCUUUCUCCUCUGACGUUAGCGGCGGACGGGUGAGUAACACGUGGAUAACCUACCUAUAAGACUGGGAUAACUACGGGAAACCGGAGCUAAUACCGGAUAAUAUAUUGAACCGCAUGGUUCAAUAGGGAAAGACGGGUUUUCAGUGACCUGGAGAUGGGUCCGCGCUGCAUUGGCUAGUGGGUAAGGUAACGCCUUACCAAGGCAACGAUGCGUAGCCGACCUGAGGGGGUGAUCGGCCACACUGGAACUGAGACACGGCCCAGACUCCUACGGGAGGCAGCAGUAGGGAAUCUUCCGCAAUGGGCGAGAGCCUGACGGAGCAACGCCGCGUGGGUGAUGAAGGUCUUCGGAUCGUAAAACUCUGUUAUUAGGGAAGAACAAAUGUGUAAGUAACUAUGCACGUCUUGACGGUACCUAAUCAGAAAGCCACGGCUAACUACGUG